rnacentral:rRNA from 1 species
CUGGUUGAUCCUGCCAGUAAUCAUAUGCUUGUCUUAAAGAUUAAGCCAUGCAUGUCUAAGUAUAAGCAAUUAUAUGGCGAAACUGCGAAUGGCUCAUUAAAUCAGUUAUAGUUUAUUUGAUAGUACCUAACUACUUGGAUAACCGUAGUAAUUCUAGAGCUAAUACAUGCUAAAAACCCCCUCACGGGGGUGUAUUUAUUAGAUAAAAAACCAAUGCAGGGGGCAACUCCUGGUUUACCGUUGAUUCACAAUAACUUCGCGAAUCGCAUGGCCUCGCGCCGGCGAUGAUUCAUUCAAAUUUCUGCCCUAUCAACUUUCGAUGGUAGUGUAGUGGACUACCAUGGUUGUAACGGGUGACGGAGAAUUAGGGUUCGGUUCCGGAGAGGGAGCCUGAGAGAUGGCUACCACUUCCAAGGAAGGCAGCAGGCGCGCAAAUUACCCAAUAUCAAUACGAUGAGGUAGUGACAAUAAAUAACAAUACGGGUCCCGACAAGGGUCUCGUAAUUGGAAUGAGUACAAUUUAAAUCCCUUAACGAGGAACAAUUGGAGGGCAAGUCUGGUGCCA